rnacentral:tRNA from 1 species
GGGGGUGCAGCUCAGUGGUAGAGUGUUUGUCUAGCAAGCAUGAGGCCCAGAGUUGGAUCCCCA